UGGGGAAUUUUGGACAAUGGACGCAAGUCUGAUCCAGCCAUGCCGCGUGCGGGAAGAAGGCCUUCGGGUUGUAAACCGCUUUUGUCAGGGAAGAAACGAGUUUCUCUAAUACAGAGACUUAAUGACGGUACCUGAAGAAUAAGCACCGGCUAACUACGUGCCAGCAGCCGCGGUAAUACGUAGGGUGCAAGCGUUAAUCGGAAUUACUGGGCGUAAAGCGUGCGCAGGCGGUUAUGCAAGACAGAUGUGAAAUCCCCGGGCUCAACCUGGGAACUGCAUUUGUGACUGCAUAGCUAGAGUGCGGCAGAGGGGGAUGGAAUUCCGCGUGUAGCAGUGAAAUGCGUAGAUAUGCGGAGAAACACCGAUGGCGAAGACAAUCCCCUGGUACUGCACUGACGCUCAUGCACGAAAGCGUGAGGAGCAAACA
rnacentral:rRNA from 1 species